UACGGAGGGUGCGAGCGUUAUUCGGAUUUAUUGGGCGUAAAGGGCGCGUAGGCGGCCUAGCAAGUCUGGUGUGAAAGCCCAGGGCUCAACCCUGGAAGGGCACUGGAAACUGUUAGGCUUGAGUUCCGGAGAGGAGGGGGGAAUUCCCGGUGUAGCGGUGAAAUGCGUAGAUAUCGGGAGGAAUACCGGUGGCGAAGGCGCCCCUCUGGACGGAAACUGACGCUGAGGCGCGAAAGCGUGGGGAGCAAACAGG
rnacentral:rRNA from 1 species